UAGAGAUAUGAGGGUGCUAGCUUGCUAGAACUUAGAGACAGGUGCUGCACGGCUGUCGUCAGCUCGUGUCGUGAGAUGUUGGGUUAAGUCCCGCAACGAGCGCAACCCACGUAUUUAGUUGCUAACACUUCGGGUGAGCACUCUAAAUAGACUGCCUUCGUAAGGAGGAGGAAGGUGUGGACGACGUCAAGUCAUCAUGGCCCUUAUGCCCAGGGCGACACACGUGCUACAAUGGCAUAUACAAUGAGACGCAAUACCGCGAGGUGGAGCAAAUCUAUAAAAUAUGUCCCAGUUCGGAUUGUUCUCUGCAACUCGAGAGCAUGAAGCCGGAAUCGCUAGUAAUCGUAGAUCAGCCAUGCUACGGUGAAUACGUUCCCGGGCCUUGUACACACCG
rnacentral:rRNA from 1 species